ACAGCUCAGUCACUUCAGUAGAGCAUGAGACUUUUAAUCUCAGGGCGAUGGCUUCAAGCCCCACGAUGGGCA